rnacentral:rRNA from 1 species
GACAGAGGAUGCAAGCGUUAUCCGGAAUGAUUGGGCGUAAAGCGUCUGUAGGUGGCUUUUCAAGUCCGCCGUCAAAUCCCAGGGCUCAACCCUGGACAGGCGGUGGAAACUACCAAGCUGGAGUACGGUAGGGGCAGAGGGAAUUUCCGGUGGAGCGGUGAAAUGCAUUGAGAUCGGAAAACGAACACACGGCGAAAGCACUCUGCUGGGCCGACACUGACACUGAGAGACGAAAGCUAGGGGAGCAAAUGGG